rnacentral:rRNA from 1 species
CCUACGGGAGGCAGCAGUGAGGAAUAUUGCACAAUGGGGGAAACCCUGAUGCAGCGACGCCGCGUGGGUGAUGAAGGUUUUCGGAUCGUAAAGCCCUUUUUGGCAUGACGAGAGAAGGACGGUAGUGCCAGAAUAAGCCUCGGCUAACUACGUGCCAGCAGCCGCGGUAAAACGUAGGAGGCGAGCGUUAUCCGGAGUUACUGGGCGUAAAGGGUGCGUAGGCGGCACGACAAGUGAGGCGUGAAAGCCCUUGGCUAAACUAAGGGAGGACAUCUCAGACUGUCGAGCUAGAGUGAAACAGAGGAGCGUGGAAUUCGGGGUGUAGCGGUGAAAUGUGUAGAGAUCCCGAGGAACACCAGUGGUGCAAACGACGCUCUGGGUUUAAACUGACGCUGAGGCACGAAAGCUUGGGGAGCGAACGGGAUUAGAGACCCCGGUAGUCCAAGCCGUAAACGAUGUCAACUGGGUGUUUGGGAAGGGAAACCGGACUGGGUGCCGAAGCUAACGCGGUAAGUGAC